UACGUAGGGGGCAAGCGUUGUCCGGAAUCAUUGGGCGUAAAGAGCGUGUAGGCGGCCAGAUAAGUCCGCUGUGAAAACUCGAGGCUCAACUUCGAGCUGUCGGUGGAAACUAUUUGGCUAGAGUCCGGAAGAGGAGAGUGGAAUUCCUGGUGUAGCGGUGAAAUGCGCAGAUAUCAGGAAGAACACCCGUGGCGAAGGCGGUUCUCUGGGACGGUACUGACGCUGAGACGCGAAAGCGUGGGGGAGCGAACAGG
rnacentral:rRNA from 1 species